rnacentral:rRNA from 1 species
UAGGGAAUCUUCGGCAAUGGGGGGAACCCUGACCGAGCAACGCCGCGUGAGUGAAGAAGGUUUUCGGAUCGUAAAGCUCUGUUGUUAAGGAAGAACGAGUGUGAGAAUGGAAAGUUCAUGCUGUGACGGUACUUAACCAGAAAGGGACGGCUAACUACGUGCCAGCAGCCGCGGUAAUACGUAGGUCCCGAGCGUUGUCCGGAUUUAUUGGGCGUAAAGCGAGCGCAGGCGGUUAGAAAAGUCUGAAGUGAAAGGCAGUGGCUCAACCAUUGUAGGCUUUGGAAACUGUUUAACUUGAGUGCAGAAGGGGAGAGUGGAAUUCCAUGUGAGCGGUGAAAUGCGUAGAUAUAUGGAGGAACACCGGUGGCGAAAGCGACUCUCUGGUCUGUAACUGACGCUGAGGCUCGAAAGCGUGGGGAGCGAACAGG